GAAACUGAUUUCUAAUGCUCUUGUGCAUGUGCAUACUGACACUACCACACCAUAUGUGUAAUUGUUAAUUGCAGCAAUUCAAUGAUUUUUAUACUUAUCAGGUAAUUAAACUGCAAUAAAACAUGCAUACACCAGUCAACAUAUGCCUCACUAUACCGAUACUGAAACCUGUGGGUUCAGUAUACUGAUUUUUCUGACCAAAACAAGCAAUCAAAAAUACGCAAGAUCUCUGGACACUCAGUUUGAAUAAUUUUAAGUGAAACUGCGUAUGUUGCCCCAUAGAACCGAGGACCUCUCCUGCUAGCCUAAACUUAUUGUCACAGGUUGUCACCAUUUAUAAGGACCUAAACUUUCUUCAUUGUUUUCUGUUUCUUCUAAUUCCAUGGUUCUUAUUGCUUCCUUAGUUCUUAGCAACCUCUCAAGGCAUGUGUAGAAUCAAAGAAUUCUGGUCUUCCAACCAAGGUGGCUUCGUGGAGGCGGCAGGCGGCAAGCUCUCAGACUGGCAGCAACGUCUUACCAUCAGUGUAAUGCUUCCACUAGAAAUAAUAAUGAUACGGUCCUGUUGAUUUUCAAGAAUCGUUCCAAUAUCUCAGUAAAGCAACUAGUACAUCGAAGGCUCAACACAAAGUUGACACCUUAAGGAGAUGCAUCAUGCUCUGGAAGCACAGACAGUGAUUGCAUUUAUGAACAACACCAAGCCACUGAAGGAUGUUUUAUUUAAGUUGGAGGCCCGUGGGAUAAAAGCUAUCGAGCUACAUGGGGAUCUUGGGAAGCUUGCAAGGUCAACAGUCUUGAAAAACUUCAAGGAAGAUUUUGGGAAGCUUGCAAGGUCAACAGUCCUGAGAAAGUUCAAGGGAGGUGAAUUCAGAUUUCUAGUCACGAACGAGUUUAUAAGAAAAAUGCGGAAGCAAUUAGGUGUGCACAAGCCAUGUCGCCAGAUUAACGUUCAUAAGGAGGAAGAUGUGGUAUAAAGUCUGCACUGUCCGCAGGACUGCUCAGCUCUAUUGUAUUACUUUAGUUUCUCCAAGCAGUGUUGCUUUUCAUGAGAAUUUAGUUUGGUUAUAGUUGCCAGUAACCAUUUUUGCUCCCCAAAGUUUGUAUCCAUUGGAAAAUAGUAGCCUUUCCUGGUAACAUUUAGUUGUUUUUCUUAUGAAGGAUAGGCAGUGAGCUCUACUAUUUUGAUUUGAUGUGCCUCUCUUAUGGAGCCAUAUUGCGAUUUGUAACUACUGGGAAUGCCUUAAUACUACCCUGGUCCUAUGUAUUUCAAA